GUGCCAGCCGCCGCGGUAAUACGGGGGGAGCAAGCGUUGUUCGGAUUUACUGGGCGUAAAGGGCGCGUAGGCGGCCAGUGCAAGUCAGUUGUGAAAUCUCCGAGCUUAACUCGGAAAGGUCAACUGAUACUGCUCGGCUAGAGUGCGGAAGGGGCAACUGGAAUUCUUGGUGUAGCGGUGAAAUGCGUAGAUAUCAAGAGGAACACCUGCGGCGAAGGCGGGUUGCUGGGCCGAC
rnacentral:rRNA from 1 species